rnacentral:tRNA from 1 species
GCCGAGGUGGCCAAGCCAAGUAUGGCGGUUGGCCGAAGACCAAUAAGACUGCCCCAGUCUUCGAGGGUUCAAAUCCCUUCCUCGGCG